rnacentral:rRNA from 1 species
UACGUAGGGUGCGAGCGUUGUCCGGAAUUAUUGGGCGUAAAGAGCUUGUAGGCGGUUUGUCGCGUCUGGUGUGAAAAUCCAGGGCUUAACCCUGGACCUGCAUCGGGUACGGGCAGACUAGAGUGCGGUAGGGGAGAUCGGAAUUCCUGGUGUAGCGGUGAAAUGCGCAGAUAUCAGGAGGAACACCAAUGGCGAAGGCAGCUCGCUGGGACGGUACUGACGCUGAGGCGCGAAAGCGUGGGGAGCAAACAGG